rnacentral:rRNA from 1 species
GAUGAACGCUGGCGGCGUGCCUAAUACAUGCAAGUCGAGCGAACGGACGAGAAGCUUGCUUCUCUGAUGUUAGCGGCGGACGGGUGGGUAACACGUGGAUAACCUACCUAUAAGACUGGGAUAACUUCGGGAAACCGGAGCUAAUACCGGAUAAUAUUUUGAACCGCAUGGUUCAAAAGUGAAAGACGGUCUUGCUGUCACUUAUAGAUGGAUCCGCGCUGCAUUAGCUAGUUGGUAAGGUAACGGCUUACCAAGGCAACGAUGCAUAGCCGACCUGAGAGGGUGAUCGGCCACACUGGAACUGAGACACGGUCCAGACUCCUACGGGAGGCAGCAGUAGGGAAUCUUCCGCAAUGGGCGAAAGCCUGACGGAGCAACGCCGCGUGAGUGAUGAAGGUCUUCGGAUCGUAAAACUCUAUUAUUAGGGAAGAACAUAUGUGUAAGUAACUGUGCACAUCUUGACGGUACCUAAUCAGAAAGCCACGGCUAACUACGUG